CGAGCGCAGAGAGAACGCCAUGAAGGCCUCGGGCACACUACGAGAGUACAAGGUGGUGGGUCGCUGCCUGCCCACCCCCAAAUGCCACAUACCGCCCUUCUACCGCAAGCGAAUCUUUGCGCCUAAUCACGUCGUCGCCAAGUCCCGCUUCUGGUACUUCGUGUCUCAGUUAAAGAAGAUGAAGAAGUCUUCAGGGGAGUCUACUGUGGGCAGGUGUUCCAGAAGUCCCCCCUGCGGGUGAAGAACUUUGGUAUCUGGCUGCGCUAUGACUCCCGGAGCGGCACCCACAACCUGUACCGGGAAUACCAGGACCUGAACACCACGGGCGCUGUCACCCAGUGCUACCGAGACAUGGGCACCCGGCACUGCGCCCAGGCCCACUCCGUCCAGAUCAUGAAAGUGGAGGAGAUCGCAGCCAGCAAGUGCCGCCGGCCAGCGAAGCAUUUCCACGACUCCAAGAUCAAGCUCCCGCUGCCUCACCGCGUCCUGCGCCGUCAGCACAAGCCACGCUUCACCACCAAGAGGCCCAACACCUUCUUCUAUGUGUGGGGCCCUCGCCCGGGUGUGCCCCAAAUAAACACAGGGAUGCCCCCCACAAAAAAAAAAAAAGAAAGAAAGACAAGUCCCUUAGCUGAUUGUGACGGUUUGCCUGGCGGGGUGACCCAGACCUUCAUUCCUGAAGUGUCUGGGCCAUUAGAAGUCCUGCUUGAAAAUGGAGGUCUGAGAAGAAAAAAGAUCAUGCCACAUUUCAUCUCCUUGCUUCGCACCCAGCAAUACUUCUACUCUCAACAGCUGGAGCCUUUGCAUUGUGAACAAAAGUCAGCUUGCGUGGGAGUAAAGCCAGCCGUUCCGGGUGCAGACCCCAGAGGCAGAGUGCAGAGGAGAAAGAGUCAGAGAGUUGUGUCUUCAAAAAUGACAUAA